AUUUAAAUAGUUUAAAAAAAACAUUGAUUUGUGAUAUCAAAAAUAUAAGUAGUCUUAUUUUAAAUU
rnacentral:tRNA from 1 species